ACUUAAAAGCUAGCCCACUCACGCAACUCCAACAACCAAUAUUACUACCCCCUAAUACCCUAUAAGCAAACAAAACAAAACAUUUUUCCUUCCUAGUAUAGGUGAUAGAAAAGAAUCCAGGAGCAAUAGAUAAAGUACCGCAAGGGAAGGCUGAAAGAGAAAUGAAAUAACCCAGUUAAGAAAAGAAAAGCAGAGAUGUACCU
rnacentral:rRNA from 1 species